UUGAUCCUGGCUCAGGACGAACGCUGGCGGCGUGCUUAACACAUGCAGUCGAACGGAAGGCCCUUCGGGGUGCUCGAGUGGCGAACGGGUGAGUAACACGUGGGUGAUCUGCCCUGCACUUUGGGAUAAGCCUGGGAAACUGGGUCUAAUACCGAAUAGGACUCCGGCCUUCAUGGGUUGGGGUGGAAAGCUUUUGCGGUGUGGGAUGGGCCCGCGGCCUAUCAGCUUGUUGGUGGGGUAAUGGCCUACCAAGGCGACGACGGGUAGCCGGCCUGAGAGGGUGACCGGCCACACUGGGACUGAGAUACGGCCCAGACUCCUACGGGAGGCAGCAGUGGGGAAUAUUGCACAAUGGGCGCAAGCCUGAUGCAGCGACGCCGCGUGAGGGAUGACGGCCUUCGGGUUGUAAACCUCUUUCAGCACAGACGAAGCGCAAGUGACGGUAUGUGCAGAAGAAGGACCGGCCAACUACGUGCCAGCAGCCGCGGUAAUACGUAGGGUCCGAGCGUUGUCCGGGAAUUACUGGGCGUAAAGAGCUCGUAGGUGGUUUGUCGCGUUGUUCGUGAAAACUCACAGCUUAACUGUGGGCGUGCGGGCGAUACGGGCAGACUGGAGUACUGCAGGGGAGACUGGAAUUCCUGGUGUAGCGGUGGAAUGCGCAGAUAUCAGGAGGAACACCGGUGGCGAAGGCGGGUCUCUGGGCAGUAACUGACGCUGAGGAGCGAAAGCGUGGGGAGCGAACAGGAUUAGAUACCCUGGUAGUCCACGCCGUAAACGGUGGGUACUAGGUGUGGGUUUCCUUCCUUGGGAUCCGUGCCGUAGCUAACGCAUUAAGUACCCCGCCUGGGGAGUACGGCCGCAAGGCUAAAACUCAAAGGAAUUGACGGGGGCCCGCACAAGCGGCGGAGCAUGUGGAUUAAUUCGAUGCAACGCGAAGAACCUUACCUGGGUUUGACAUGCACAGGACGCCAGUAGAGAUAUUGGUUCCCUUGUGGCCUGUGUGCAGGUGGUGCAUGGCUGUCGUCAGCUCGUGUCGUGAGAUGUUGGGUUAAGUCCCGCAACGAGCGCAACCCUUGUCCUAUGUUGCCAGCGGGUUAUGCCGGGGACUCGUAGGAGACUGCCGGGGUCAACUCGGAGGAAGGUGGGGAUGACGUCAAGUCAUCAUGCCCCUUAUGUCCAGGGCUUCACACAUGCUACAAUGGCCGGUACAAAGGGCUGCGAUGCCGUGAGGUGGAGCGAAUCCUUGUAAAGCCGGUCUCAGUUCGGAUCGGGGUCUGCAACUCGACCCCGUGAAGUCGGAGUCGCUAGUAAUCGCAGAUCAGCAACGCUGCGGUGAAUACGUUCCCGGGCCUUGUACACACCGCCCGUCACGUCAUGAAAGUCGGUAACACCCGAAGCCGGUGGCCUAACCCCUUGUGGGAGGAGCCGUCGAAGGUGGGAUCGGCGAUUGGGACGAAGUC
rnacentral:rRNA from 2 species